rnacentral:rRNA from 1 species
UACAGAGACUGCAAGCGUUAUUCGGAUUCACUGGGCGUAAAGGGUGCGCAGGCGGCUAGGUGUGUUAGGCGUGAAAGCCCGGGGCUUAACCCCGGAAUUGCACCUAAAACUACUUGGCUAGAGCAUUGGAGAGGGUAGCGGAAUUCACGGUGUAGCAGUGAAAUGCGUAGAUAUCGUGAGGAACACCAGAGGCGAAGGCGGCUACCUGGACAAUUGCUGACGCUCAGGCACGAAAGCGUGGGGAGCAAAAGGG